CCUUAAACGGGUUAACUCAGUGGUUAGAGUAUGUCUUCUGGCAAGCAAAAAGGAUUGCUGAGGUUCAAAUCCUCAACUUUAAGGA
rnacentral:tRNA from 1 species